UACCAAGAGAAAUAUGAUUCCUCUAAAGGGAUUGUUAGGAACUUUUCAAUAUUUUAAAGCAACAGAGUUUUUUAAUCUUUUUGCAAUACAUAGGUAAUGAAUCUUAACCAUAAGGAACAGGAUCAUGGUAUAUUAAUGUAUUCUCUGUUGUAUAUUGUUAAGGUUUGUUCAAGUAGAUAUUUGUCUGGGCAUUUCAAAUACUAUCUUGCCAUAUAUCACUUUAAUUAUACAUUUCAAUUACCCUGAAGAGUCUUCAGUUAAAUAUAUUUUGUGUGGAAAAUUAUUCAGCUCCCAGUUUUGUCAUAUAAAUAAUCUGCAAUUGCUUUCACCAUUAUUUAUGUUUAUUUCACAGAUAUUUACAUAAGCAUGGGACCAGCUGAGGAGUAUCUGUUACUUGAGUUUGUACUGAGCCAUGACAAAGUUUCUUGUGGAUAAAGAGUCAAGCUUUAAGCAUGAUGCUCAGAGAAUAGUGACACCAGAAUGCAGGGUGACUCUACAGACCACUGAAACUAUGGAACCCCAUUCAUAACAGUCUCCAGAGCAUCUCUUAAUUUUUAAGGUUUAUAAGUUUGCAAGAAAUAUUGUGCCAAGCCAAACAUGAUGGAGAUUAAGCUAAUUCUUUCAUUUGGAAGGAGAUGGACACCAUUCAUUGGAUCCAAUGAAGAACUUGCCUUUCUUGACCUUACCCAGUAGAUCAGAUCCUGACCUGUGGAUUUUUCUUUCUGGAUUUCAGUCUCCUGUCCAAUUUGGAUCUUCCGAGUAUUCAUAACUCCUACUACAUUUAGCUUUGGCAUAUUUUCAGUGCUGCGAUGAAUGUUUGAUAAUUAAUUUGCAAUUUUUGUUACUAAUAUUUCAUAAAAGUCUUCUAAAAUGUAUUUUUCUAGUUGGUUGUAGGAAUUUCAAGCCAUAUGGUGCCAUCAAAAUAUUACUGAAAUGAUGUUGUAUCAUAUCUGCCACUUCUUCCAUUCAAUAAGCCUCUAUUCUGGCUCAGAAGGACAUGGAGUCUCAGCAAAUUCGUGACUGAUAUUUGUUACACUCUUGUCUUUUACUGAUGCAUGCCCCAAUUAUUUAUUAGUGCUAAAAUCUUUCAAGGUUUAAACCAGGCUAAAUAGUCUCAUAGUUUCAUUUUUAUUUCCCCUUUUUGAAAUAUAGGUGGUGUGCUACAGCCCCCACACCUCCGAGAUCAGGGUCGUUGUUGUAACCGUUGGACUCUGUCUAGCAGGCUGCUGCUGCCUGAAAGCUCAGCGAUGCCACACAGGUCAUCAUUCUGUAACUCCCAAAGUUAAACAGCAUAAACAUUUCUUUGGUUGGCUCUUAAACACCUUAUAGUAAACCCUGAAACGUGACUGAUUUAUCUAUCCCCUUACCAAUCUAUUAUUUCCCUAUUCUGUCAUUGCUUCAUACCAUUGUCACGACUGAUAGUUUAAAAGAUUGGGUUGUGAAUAUCCUUCUUUAGCUGAAUAUUGAAAAAAAACAAACAAACAAAAGACUACCAUUUUUAAGAAAAAAGGCAUUCGCCCAUGUCAUUAUAGGAAAAAAAAUCAAUAUCUCAUUGCUGUAAUGAAAAGCCAUCUAUAAUUCUGAUUGAUAGCUUCUGACAAAGGUUCUUAAAUUAGAAACUAUUCCCUCCUGGUCCAAAGUAACACCCCAUGAAGCAUUAAAGAAUGAGCUUUUAGCUUACUACAUUAAUGAAUUCAACAGGUAUAUAAAAUUUUAACUAAGUAAUAUAUAAUGGUUUAAAGAUGCAUGGUUAUAAUACAGAUGAAUCAAAACUAGUACCUGUCAUAUUUAAAAUACACUAUUAUUUUUCAGUGUUUCCAGUAAGAAAUAGUUCUUCCUGCUCUUGUUGUUGUUUUUGUUGCUGUUGUUAUGUUGUUUUGUUUCAUUUUGCUAUUUGUUGGGGUUUUUUUUUUAAAUAUACAAAUGGUAUGCAGGGACCUGAUCUUUUAAAGAACUUCAAAAGGAUCAAAACAAAAUGUCCUUGUAAUGAGCUCUGAAAUAAAACUAAAAUUGGAUCCUCAUCCCUGGGAAAUGUGAAGGAAGAAAGUAGAAAUUGAAAUAUUAUUAACUAGGACUAAAGGAUAGGGUAUGUACAAUCUUCAUGUGGGUGAAUACUGAAAAAAUGGAAAAUGCAACAUAGAAUAAGAUUUUUCUAAAACAAUGUGGAAGACUUUGCAAAUGGCCUUACCUAGACGUGAAUAAACCCACAUUCUGUCUCACUAUAAUAUUAAAAGUUAAUCAAUCUAAUUAAUGAUAAUCCUCCUUCUACAGCUCGUAUUAGUAGAGAAGAAUAAUGUUCAAUGCAAAACUAUCAAAAUUGUACAUAAAGCUAAUUGUAUCACUUUCUACCUGUUUCUAUGCUUCAGCUAUGUAAACAUAAAUGUGAAGGAAAAUGACAUAGCUAAUAAGAUAUCUACAGGAAACAAAACAAAUGGGUUCUUCUCUGUGAAUAGUAUUUAAAUGGAUAUCUGCUUCAGAAUACGAUCAUUAAAAGGGUAAGGGCAAAAAGGCAAUAUUUUGAUGAUACCAGAGUUUUCAUGUCUCAGCCUUCCCAAAAUAUCUUUCAGUGGCUGCUUCAGUAGAAUACCCUGUAAAUUGAUUUUCAACCUUUUGAAAAAGGGCAGUAGCAGAGAAAGAAGAGAAGAAAAACAUUCUAUUUUGAAAGAGCUUCUGCAAAUAAUUCCCAGUUUCAGACUGUAAUGUUGUACAACAAUAAGGGUGUGGCAAAAUUUAGGUGCUUUGGAGCCAUGCACCUCCACAGUUUUCCUAGCUGGUGUAAAAAUGGAUAGUUGCCAAGAUAAUGUAAAUUCCGUAGAGAUUUCUCAUCUGAUUUCCUUCUUUCUUUUUCAUCAUAGAAAAAUGUCAUCUGGGCCACAGAUAGAAUAUAAAUCAGAGUGCUUUUUUAUCUUAGAGUAGAUCCUGUUUUCUAAGAGUAUGUGAUUUUUUGUAAAAGUUUGUAAAAUAAACACACUUUCAAUUUA